rnacentral:rRNA from 1 species
ACAUCCCUCUGACCGCUCUAGAGAUAGAGUUUUCCUUCGGGACAGAGGUGACAGGUGGUGCAUGGUUGUCGUCAGCUCGUGUCGUGAGAUGUUGGGUUAAGUCCCGCAACGAGCGCAACCCCUAUUGUUAGUUGCCAUCAUUCAGUUGGGCACUCUAGCGAGACUGCCGGUAAUAAACCGGAGGAAGGUGGGGAUGACGUCAAAUCAUCAUGCCCCUUAUGACCUGGGCUACACACGUGCUACAAUGGCUGGUACAACGAGUCGCAAGCCGGUGACGGCAAGCUAAUCUCUUAAAGCCAGUCUCAGUUCGGAUUGUAGGCUGCAACUCGCCUACAUGAAGUCGGAAUCGCUAGUAAUCGCGGAUCAGCACGCCGCGGUGAAUACGUUCCCGGGCCUUGUACACACCGCCCGUCACACCACGAGAGUUUGUAACACCCGAAGUCGGUGAGGUAACCAUUUGGAGCCAGCCGCCUAGGGUGGGAUAGAUGAUUGGGGUGAAGUCGUAACAAGGUAAGCGUAGCGAG